rnacentral:rRNA from 1 species
UUUAAAGAGAGUUUGAUCCUGGCUCAGGACGAACGCUGGCGGCGUGCCUAAUACAUGCAAGUCGAACGAACGGAGGAAGAGCUUGCUCUUCCAAUGUUAGUGGCGGACGGGUGAGUAACACGUGGGCAACCUGCCUGUAAGUUGGGGAUAACUCCGGGAAACCGGGGCUAAUACCGAAUGAUAAGAUGUGGCGCAUGCCACACCUUUGAAAGAUGGUUUCGGCUAUCGCUUACAGAUGGGCCCGCGGUGCAUUAGCUAGUUGGUAGGGUAAUGGCCUAC